rnacentral:lncRNA from 1 species
CGGAAGGUACUGAUUGUUGGGAUCCCGUUGUCUUGUUCAUCCAGAAUUAAUCUACUGGGACAAGAACGUAGAGUACUAAUAAUGCUCAACUAGAGCUUAUUUUGGCAUGCUGGUUGGUUGGUAGUAACACGUACACUUGCCGAAUCCAUAAGGGGAUCUCCAUAGAGAACGGACGGAGAAUCUUGCAUGUUCGUAAAUCGUACGUUUCUCAGAAGAAGAAGAAUCGUAUACGCUACUUCUCCCCGACAAGAAUUAUUUAGAUACGGAGGAAGUACGUAUGGAGCUGCAACCUAGUCCUAGUACAGCGCAAGGAAAAUAAAAAAGAUAGAGCAAUUCAUACCGACUUAAUGAUCUCUACUAGGAACAAACGCCUGAAGAGAGUAAUCUGGAGAGGAACGCAGCUCGAGACGGAGGAGGUUGAGGAAGAAAAAGAAAAAAACAGUGGAAAGGCCACCGAAUGCCCAAGGUAGAAGAGGAAGAGGAAGAGGAAGAGGGGAAGAAGCCAAGAAGUCACCUUUCCCGCUCCGUGGCUGCUUCCUCCUCGUUGUUUUGAACCACUCUUCUCCAGGAGGGAGGCGCAACAAACACCACAACCUUGCCGUCUCCCGCAGUUGCAGCUCCAGUUCUGGGAAGUUCCACGCCGGCCCCCGCGCUCACAACUAGUCAGGUCAGGUCAAGCCUCAAGCGGAGGAGUAGUAUAUUGUAUAUACACAACACAGUGGAGGGGGGAGAGGAAGAGGAGGAGGAGAGUUGACUGGUGGUAGGAAGGAAGGUUUAAUUGCCCGGAUCCCCGGUCUGAACGGGGUUGCGCGCAGCGGGGAAGACUUUGGCCGCGCGCUGCCAGCGGAGGGCGAUAGCGAGAGAGAGAAGAGACAACUCGGGGAGGAAG